rnacentral:ncRNA from 1 species
GUAGUCUGCCAUACGCAGGAAGACCCGCUGAACUGAAGCAUCUCAUUAAGCGGAGGAAAAGAAACUAACUAGGAUUCCCUUAGUAAAGGCGAUCGAAAAGGGAACAGCCCAACGUCUUAAUCCCGCAAGGGAAAUGUAGUCGGUUCACCUAUUGCACUGGUCUAAGUCAGAUGGAAUGCUGCGCGAUUCAGAGUAAAAGCCUCGUAUGACCAACCGCAAGCUUACGAUGGACCGGGGAGAGUCGGAUACUUUGAGAGUAGUGUCUUAAGGGGGUGGUAUGUCCCAUCCAAGGCUAAAUAACGUGAGGAGACCGAUAGAUUACAAGUAGUGUGAACGAUAGAUGAAAAGAACUCU